rnacentral:lncRNA from 1 species
UACACUUCACACUCACAUAGAUAAUUUCUAACCGUGUUAUCGCGUAGAUACACUAUUUGGUCAAAUCUGCCAAACUUAGCAAAUCAUUAAAAACAUUAAGCUUUAUUAACUCUAUAACAAGCCUUAAUGAUGUAUCCUUGUUCCUGAGCAUUGUCUUCAUCAUGAGAAUGGAUUGAGUUGGUUGACAAUGAUGAACCGUCAGUCACAACUUUGUUUGUCUCCUUGAAUCUAGCUCUUGGGAUCUCCAGUCUGCUAGAUAGAGUUA